UUCCAUCCUGUGCCUUGUCUGAGUAUGCUUCUAUUUAUACUGGUUAGAUAAUACCAGUAAGUUUACAAUCAGAACUUUUCUUUUUUCUUGCAGAAUGGAUUAAUCAUUAUCUUUCUGGCUACAUUAGUUUUUUUUUUUUUUUCUUCCUGGUAAAAAUGGAUAAAAUGUUCCUGUCACCCUGAUCGAGAAGAAAGGCAAAAAGAGAAACCACAAAGGUGGAGAACCAUGUUCCUGACACAAAAACUGCUGCGUGGUACUUAAAGGACAUUUUCUGUUUUAUUUAUUGAACCUGCUGCUGGGGAACUCAAAAAAUGUGGAGGAAGAGAAAAACCAGUUGGACACCCACUGUUGGGAAGAGCGAAGGCAGGUGUCUGCCAUGUUCUGCUGGCUGUAGACCAGGAGCUGCAGCACGGUAAGUGCGGUACCAUUCGCCACUCGGGGAACGCUGGCGGGGUUUAGGUGGCAGUCUGCAGGUGAGUCAGCUGUGAGAUCUUUUGCAGUCUGAAUUGCUUUUAGACGUAAGAGAAGCAUGGUUUGUACAACAAAGAGUCGCUGGAGGCUCAGGAUGCUGAGAAACAGAGUCAUAGGAGCUUGGUGACAAUUAGGAGUUUACGCUACUCCUAAUUAUGUGGGUUUGAACUGCAUCUCCAGAUGCACUAGAAUCCCGUCUCACCAAAAUCUCCUGCAAACUUCAUUGACUCAAUUUAAGAAUGAAACUGUUGUACAGUUCUCUCAUUCCUCAAACCUGUUUAAUGCAGUCCGUUUUUGAAGGAACACAUCUCCACUCUGAUUUAUUUUAAAACAGCUUUUAGAACUUGUCAUCCUUGUGAUGAAGUGUUAGGUCUUGUUGCCAGGGUGCCAUUAAAAACUGAAUUUCUGACGUUUAAAAGUCUCACUUAUCCCAAGUGUCACAAUUUGACAGCUCUGCGUGUCACAUUACAGCACAGUAUUUUGGAUCCAUUUCCUCUGUCGG